AGCAGCCGCGGUAAUUCCAGCUCCAAUAGCGUAUAUUAAAGUUGUUGCAGUUAAAAGGCUCGUAGUUGAAUUUCGGGAUCAAUAUGUUGGUCGUGCCUUGGUACGUACUGGCAUUAUCGAUUCCUACCUUCUGAAGAACCUCGAUGUCAUUAAUUUGGUGUCUUGGGGAAUCAGGACUGUUACUUUGAAAAAAUUAGAGUGUUUAAAGCAGGCUCGCGCUUGAAUACAUUAGCAUGGAAUAAUGAAAUAGGACGUUUGAUUCUAUUUUGUUGGUUUCUAGGAUCGACGUAAUGAUUAAUAGGGAUAGUUGGGGGCAUUAGUAUUCAAUUGUCAGAGGUGAAAUUCUUGGAUUUAUUGAAGACUAACUACUGCGAAAGCAUUUGCCAAGGAUGUUUUCAUUAAUCAAGAACGAAAGUUAGGGGAUCGAAGACGAUCAGAUACCGUCGUAGUCUUAACCAUAAACUAUGUCGACUAGGGAUCGGGAUGAUGUUAAUUUUUAANGAA
rnacentral:rRNA from 1 species